UACAGGCCCGUUUCCGUUACUCGCAGCCGCGAUCGCUAUUUAAAACCAUGUAUCCAAUUGUAAAGGUUAAGUUUUGGGAAGAGAGGAGAGAAGAGUUCAAAUCACACCCAAAGGUCACCAUUAUUGCUGAGCCCAAACUGAGGAGGCAGAAAUUGUAACUGCAUAAAAGAGAAAUAGAAGGAAGGAAAAUAAAAAGGAAAGGAAAAUGAAAGAGAAAUAAAAAGUAUGUUCAAGAUUUGAUAGGAAGAGAGAGAGCUUUACUUGAAAUCAGCAAAGGAAAAGAGAAAGGCCAUAAUAAAAAGGGGGAAAAAGUCAACUAUAUGAAAUAAGCAAAGAUUUGUGAGUACUUAUUUUUGUUUAUGUUUUGAAAAAAUUUAUGAAAAAAGGGUAAAGAAAAGAAACACAACUAAUCCAAACGAACGAAUUGUG
rnacentral:misc_RNA from 1 species